CCUUUUACGUUAGCGGCGGACGGGUGAGUAACACGUGGGUAACCUACCUAUAAGACUGGGAUAACUUCGGGAAACCGGAGCUAAUACCGGAUAAUAUUUCGAACCGCAUGGUUCGAUAGUGAAAGAUGGUUUUGCUAUCACUUAUAGAUGGACCUGCGCCGUAUUAGCUAGUUGGUAAGGUAACGGCUUACCAAGGCGACGAUACGUAGCCGACCUGAGAGGGUGAUCGGCCACACUGGAACUGAGACACGGUCCAGACUCCUACGGGAGGCAGCAGCU
rnacentral:rRNA from 1 species